AAUGACCACAAAGAGAGGCAAAAUGACAGCAAAAUCACUACAAAAAGGUGUAAAAUCAGCACAAAAACACGCAGAAUGACCACAAAGAGAGGCAAAAUUACAACAAAAACCCUAAAUCACUACAAAAAGGUGUAAAAUCAGCACAAAAACACACAGAAUGACCACAAAGAGAGGCAAAAUUACAACAAAAACCCUAAAUCACUACAAAAAGGUGUAAAAUCAGCACAAAAACACACAGAAUGACCACAAAGAGAGGCAAAAUUACAACAAAAACCCUAAAUCACUACAAAAAGGUGUUAAAUCAGCACAAAAACAUGCAGAAUGACCACAAAGACAGGAAAAAUUACUGCAAAAUCACUACAAAAAGGUGUUAAAUCAGCACAAAAACACGCAGAAUGACCACAAAGAGAGGCAAAAUUACAGCAAAAGCAUGUAGAAUUACUGCAAAAAGAGAUAAAUCACGACAUAAAUAUGCAAAAUCACACCAAAAUACACAAAAUUACCACAAAGAGAGGCAAAAUUUCAACAAACUCUCCACAAAAUGGUGCAAAACCACAACAAAAGCACCUAAAAUCAAGGCAACUAGGUCAAAAUCACUAGAAAAAGAUGCAGAAUUACCCUGGAAAGACAUAAAUCACCACUUAUAGAUGUAAAACCACACCAAAAAUACACAAAAUGACCUCAAAGAGAGGCAAAAUUACAACAAAAACACCACAAACGGUGUAAAAUCACAACAAAGCACACAAAAUCACCACAAAACCAUACUAAAUCAAGACAAAAGGUGCAAAACCACAACAAAAAGACACAAAAUUACCAGGCAAAGACAAGCAAAAUUACAAUAUAAAACCAUAUAAAGAUGCAAAAUCAACACAAAAAGAUGCAACAACACAACAAAAAGGUGCAAAAUCAUUACAAAGUGAUGCAAAAAUCACUAGAAAAAAGUGCAAAGUCACCACAAAAGGUGCAAAACCACAACAAAAAAAACACAAAAUUACCAAAAAAAGUGAAAAAUCAGCACAAAAACAUGCAAUAUCAUGCUAACAGGUACACAAUCCCAACAAGAUGCAAAAUGCUUCAAAGUGGUGCAAAAAUACUACAAAAAAUGCAAAAUUACCAUGAGAAGGUGCAAAAUCACUACAAAAAUGUGCAAAAUUAUCAGAAAAAGUGAAAACUCACUACAAAAAUGUGCAAAACCACAACAACAAAAUGCAAAACCACAACAAAAACGCACAAAUUUACCAUAAACAGGGGCAAAAUUGCAACAAAAAUGCACAAAAUCAGUAUAAAAAUGUGCAAAAUCACAUAAAAAAAGAUGUAGAAUUACUUCAGAAAGAGAUAAAUCAGCACAAAAAGAUGCAAAACCACAACAAAAACACACAAAAUCACCACAAUAAGGUGCAAAAUCACGAUAACAGAAGUCCAUCUGGGAUGCCCAUCACGCCCGUUACUGAGAGAGAUUUCUCCUCAUUUCUGGCGAUUCUUUUUCUUCUUCUUCUUCUGGUGUUGUUUCGGUUUGUGGGCUGCAGGCCGUUAACUAACCAGCUUCCUCCUUGUUGUCGCUGGAAAUGUGGAGAAAACAGAAAAACCCAGAAAAGUUGCGUGGAAGCAGAGCGGAGCGACGUCGCAUCAGGACAAGACGACGGCGGCUCUUUCUCAGCGUCGCCACGAGUGGUUUUUUUU